rnacentral:rRNA from 1 species
GUGAGGAAUUUUCCGCAAUGGGCGAAAGCCUGACGGAGCAAUGCCGCGUGAAGGAUGAAGGCCUAUGGGUUGUAAACUUCUUUUCUCAGAAAAGAAUUAUGACGGUAUCUGAGGAAUAAGCAUCGGCUAACUCUGUGCCAGCAGCCGCGGUAAGACAGAGGAUGCAAGCGUUAUCAGGAAUGAUUGGGCGUAAAGCGUCUGUAGGUUGUUUAAAAAGUAUUCUGUCAAAGAUUAGGGCUUGACCCUAGAUAGGCAGAAUAAACUUUUAAGCUAGAGUUUGGGAGAGGCAGAGGGAAUUCCCGGUGGAGCGGUGAAAUGCGUAGAUAUCGGGAGGAACACCAAAGGCGAAGGCACUCUGCUGGGCCAAUACUAACACUGAGAGACGAAAGCGAGGGGAGCAUAUGGGAUUAGAAACCCGUGUAGUCC